UACGGAGGGGGCUAGCGUUGUUCGGAAUUACUGGGCGUAAAGCGCACGUAGGCGGCUUUGUAAGUUAGAGGUGAAAGCCCGGGGCUCAACUCCGGAAUUGCCUUUAAGACUGCAUCGCUAGAAUUGUGGAGAGGUAAGUGGAAUUCCGAGUGUAGAGGUGAAAUUCGUAGAUAUUCGGAAGAACACCAGUGGCGAAGGCGACACACUGGCCCGAUACUGACGCUGAGGCGCGAAAGCGUGAGGAGCAAACAGG
rnacentral:rRNA from 1 species